CCGUGUGGUUGUGCAGAAAAUCACGCCAGUCAGAAUGCGGACGUUUCAUUUAAUGCUUGGUGUAAGGAUAGUACAUGCUCUCUAUAUCUAAAACCCUUGCUUCAGUUAUUCAAAUAGUCAAUAGUUGGCAUAAUGCACGAGGAAAUCUCAAACCUUCAUGAAAGUUGAUCGCUUUCAGAACCGACCUAUAUUUGAUUUCUUG
rnacentral:lncRNA from 1 species